rnacentral:rRNA from 1 species
UUAAGUUAUUAAGGGCGCACGGUGGAUGCCUUGGCACUAGAAGCCGAUGAAGGACGUUACUAACGACGAUAUGCUUUGGGGAGCUGUAAGUAAGCUUUGAUCCAGAGAUUUCCGAAUGGGGAAACCCAGCAUGAGUUAUGUCAUGUUAUCGAUAUGUGAAUACAUAGCAUAUCAGAAGGCACACCCGGAGAACUGAAACAUCUUAGUANNNNNCCGGAGGAAGAGAAAGAAAAUUCGAUUCCCUUAGUAGCGGCGAGCGAAACGGGAAGAGCCCAAACCAACAAGCUUGCUUGUUGGGGUUGUAGGACACUCUAUACGGAGUUACAAAGGACGACAUUAGACGAAUCAUCUGGAAAGAUGAAUCAAAGAAGGUAAUAAUCCUGUAGUCGAAAAUGUUGUCUCUCUUGAGUGGAUCCUGAGUACGACGGAGCACGUGAAAUUCCGUCGGAAUCUGGGAGGACCAUCUCCUAAGGCUAAAUACUCUCUAGUGACCGAUAGUGAACCAGUACCGUGAGGGAAAGGUGAAAAGCACCCCGGAAGGGGAGUGAAAUAGAACCUGAAACCGUGUGCUUACAAGUAGUCAGAGCCCGUUAAUGGGUGAUGGCGUGCCUUUUGUAGAAUGAACCGGCGAGUUACGAUUUGAUGCAAGGUUAAGCAGUAAAUGUGGAGCCGUAGCGAAAGCGAGUCUGAAUAGGGCGUUUAGUAUUUGGUCGUAGACCCGAAACCAGGUGAUCUACCCUUGGUCAGGUUGAAGUUCAGGUAACACUGAAUGGAGGACCGAACCGACUUACGUUGAAAAGUGAGCGGAUGAACUGAGGGUAGCGGAGAAAUUCCAAUCGAACCUGGAGAUAGCUGGUUCUCUCCGAAAUAGCUUUAGGGCUAGCCUCAAGUGAUGAUUAUUGGAGGUAGAGCACUGUUUGGACGAGGGGCCCCUCUCGGGUUACCGAAUUCAGACAAACUCCGAAUGCCAAUUAAUUUAACUUGGGAGUCAGAACAUGGGUGAUAAGGUCCGUGUUCGAAAGGGAAACAGCCCAGACCACCAGCUAAGGUCCCAAAAUAUAUGUUAAGUGGAAAAGGAUGUGGCGUUGCCCAGACAACUAGGAUGUUGGCUUAGAAGCAGCCAUCAUUUAAAGAGUGCGUAAUAGCUCACUAGUCGAGUGACACUGCGCCGAAAAUGUACCGGGGCUAAACAUAUUACCGAAGCUGUGGAUUGUCCUUUGGACAAUGGUAGGAGAGCGUUCUAAGGGCGUUGAAGCAUGAUCGUAAGGACAUGUGGAGCGCUUAGAAGUGAGAAUGCCGGUGUGAGUAGCGAAAGACGGGUGAGAAUCCCGUCCACCGAUUGACUAAGGUUUCCAGAGGAAGGCUCGUCCGCUCUGGGUUAGUCGGGUCCUAAGCUGAGGCCGACAGGCGUAGGCGAUGGAUAACAGGUUGAUAUUCCUGUACCACCUAUAAUCGUUUUAAUCGAUGGGGGGACGCAGUAGGAUAGGCGAAGCGUGCGAUUGGAUUGCACGUCUAAGCAGUAAGGCUGAGUAUUAGGCAAAUCCGGUACUCGUUAAGGCUGAGCUGUGAUGGGGAGAAGACAUUGUGUCUUCGAGUCGUUGAUUUCACACUGCCGAGAAAAGCCUCUAGAUAGAAAAUAGGUGCCCGUACCGCAAACCGACACAGGUAGUCAAGAUGAGAAUUCUAAGGUGAGCGAGCGAACUCUCGUUAAGGAACUCGGCAAAAUGACCCCGUAACUUCGGGAGAAGGGGUGCUCUUUAGGGUUAACGCCCAGAAGAGCCGCAGUGAAUAGGCCCAAGCGACUGUUUAUCAAAAACACAGGUCUCUGCUAAACCGUAAGGUGAUGUAUAGGGGCUGACGCCUGCCCGGUGCUGGAAGGUUAAGAGGAGUGGUUAGCUUCUGCGAAGCUACGAAUCGAAGCCCCAGUAAACGGCGGCCGUAACUAUAACGGUCCUAAGGUAGCGAAAUUCCUUGUCGGGUAAGUUCCGACCCGCACGAAAGGCGUAACGAUUUGGGCACUGUCUCAACGAGAGACUCGGUGAAAUCAUAGUACCUGUGAAGAUGCAGGUUACCCGCGACAGGACGGAAAGACCCCGUGGAGCUUUACUGUAGCCUGAUAUUGAAAUUCGGCACAGCUUGUACAGGAUAGGUAGGAGCCUUUGAAACGUGAGCGCUAGCUUACGUGGAGGCGCUGGUGGGAUACUACCCUAGCUGUGUUGGCUUUCUAACCCGCACCACUUAUCGUGGUGGGAGACAGUGUCAGGCGGGCAGUUUGACUGGGGCGGUCGCCUCCUAAAAGGUAACGGAGGCGCUCAAAGGUUCCCUCAGAAUGGUUGGAAAUCAUUCAUAGAGUGUAAAGGCAUAAGGGAGCUUGACUGCGAGACCUACAAGUCGAGCAGGGUCGAAAGACGGACUUAGUGAUCCGGUGGUUCCGCAUGGAAGGGCCAUCGCUCAACGGAUAAAAGCUACCCCGGGGAUAACAGGCUUAUCUCCCCCAAGAGUUCACAUCGACGGGGAGGUUUGGCACCUCGAUGUCGGCUCAUCGCAUCCUGGGGCUGUAGUCGGUCCCAAGGGUUGGGCUGUUCGCCCAUUAAAGCGGUACGCGAGCUGGGUUCAGAACGUCGUGAGACAGUUCGGUCCCUAUCCGUCGUGGGCGUAGGAAAUUUGAGAGGAGCUGUCCUUAGUACGAGAGGACCGGGAUGGACAUACCUCUGGUGUACCAGUUGUCGUGCCAACGGCAUAGCUGGGUAGCUAUGUGUGGACGGGAUAAGUGCUGAAAGCAUCUAAGCAUGAAGCCCCCCUCAAGAUGAGAUUUCCCAACUUCGGUUAUAAGAUCCCUCAAAGAUGAUGAGGUUAAUAGGUUCGAGGUGGAAGCAUGGUGACAUGUGGAGCUGACGAAUACUAAUCGAUCGAAGACUUAAUCAA